GUGGUGCUGUCUCCUUGCUGGCUUUAUGGCCCGAAUGGUGCAGACUUGUGUUCCUGGCACUCAGAGGCGGAGGCGGAAGGACAGCGAACUGGGGGACCGCCUGGGCUAGAGAGAAGCUCCAUAAGCAGGAAAGUAAACUACUCAAACUAGCUUCAGGUGGUCCCUGAAACCAGCCAGUCUCACUGGUCCACUCCUUGCCAGAGUAAGCAAUAGAAGCUGAGAGAUGGAAGGAAGUCGAGCUGCAAAGAAGACUCUGAGACCAGAGCAGCUGCCUAGAAGAAGAAGAGGAAGAGGUCUAGACAGCUGAGGAGCCUGUCCAACCUGUUGAGCUGCCCGCAGGCUGUGCAGUGAGCUCCAGGUACCCGGCUUUUG